rnacentral:rRNA from 1 species
AGUGAACGCUGGCGGUAGGCCUAACACAUGCAAGUCGAACGGCAGCACAGUAAGAGCUUGCUCUUACGGGUGGCGAGUGGCGGACGGGUGAGGAAUACAUCGGAAUCUACUUUUUCGUGGGGGAUAACGUAGGGAAACUUACGCUAAUACCGCAUACGACCUACGGGUGAAAGCAGGGGAUCUUCGGACCUUGCGCGAUUGAAUGAGCCGAUGUCGGAUUAGCUAGUUGGCGGGGUAAAGGCCCACCAAGGCGACGAUCCGUAGCUGGUCUGAGAGGAUGAUCGGCCACACUGGAACUGAGACACGGUCCAGACUCCUACGGGAGGCAGCAGUGGGGAAUAUUGGACAAUGGGCGCAGGCCUGAUCCAGCCAUACCGCGUGGGUGAAGAAGGCCUUCGGGUUGUAAAGCCCUUUUGUUGGGAAAGAAAAGCAGCAGGUUAAUACCCCGCUGUUCUGACGGUACCCAAAGGAUAAGCACCGGCUAACUUCGU